rnacentral:lncRNA from 1 species
GGGAAUCAAGGGCGAGUUCAGGGUUAUCCAAAAGUCCAGCGAUGAGAACCAGGAUCUGGAAGUACCAGGCCUCCAAACACAGCAUCACCGCGGAGGCUAUGGACAGCCGGAAGAACUCCGGAAGGCCGGAGAAGGCCUGCCAGGUGAACCCGGUCCACGUGAAGUGGCAUCGGCUGCUGGAGGAGAUGUACACGAACUGAGCACCCACGAUGAUCCACCACGACAGGCUCAGCGCCAGCGAGGCCCCCAACAGUCCUAGGCCGAUCUUGUACACCACCACCCAGCUGAGGAGCAGGUGCACCACCAGCGUCGCCGCCGAGAUGUAGGCGCUCGGCGCCACGAUGCUCUGCGCCUGCAGGAACUUCUGGAUGGGGAAGUUGGCGGCGUACGCGAAGAUCUGCGGGAUCAGCCCGUAGACGAAGAUGGACGCCGCCUUGGCGAUCUCCGGCGACUCACCCAGCAGCACAAGGAUCGGCCUCGAUAGGGCGUAGAUCGCGGCCAGCGGCACGCCGGUGGCCAUGAGGAGCACCGUCGACCGCUGCAGGUAUACCCCGAGCAUCUCGUACUUGUGGGCGCCGUACGCCUGUCCGCAUAGUGUCUCCACAGCACUCCCCAU